AUUGAACGCUGGCGGCAUGAUUUACACAUGCAAGUCGAACGGUAACAGGGAGCUUGCUCCGCUGACGAGUGGCGAACGGGUGAGUAAUGCGUCGGAACGUGCCGAGUAGUGGGGGAUAACGCAUCGAAAGGUGUGCUAAUACCGCAUACGUACUGAGGUAGAAAGUGGGGGACCUUCGGGCCUCACGCUAUUCGAGCGGCCGACGUCUGAUUAGCUAGUUGGUGAGGUAAAGGCUCACCAAGGCGACGAUCAGUAGCGGGUCUGAGAGGAUGAUCCGCCACACUGGGACUGAGACACGGCCCAGACUCCUACGGGAGGCAGCAGUGGGGAAUUUUGGACAAUGGGCGCAAGCCUGAUCCAGCCAUGCCGCGUGUCUGAAGAAGGCCUUCGGGUUGUAAAGGACUUUUGUCCGGGAGCAAAUGCCUGGUGUUAAUAGCAUCGGGAGCUGAGAGUACCGGAAGAAUAGGCACCGGCUAACUACGUGCCAGCCGCCGCGGUAACAC
rnacentral:rRNA from 1 species